UGGGGAAUAUUGCACAAUGGGCGAAAGCCUGAUGCAGCGACGCCGCGUGAGGGAUGACGGCCUUCGGGUUGUAAACCUCUUUCAGCAGGGAAGAAGCGAAAGUGACGGUACCUGCAGAAGAAGCGCCGGCUAACUACGUGCCAGCAGCCGCGGUAAUACGUAGGGCGCAAGCGUUGUCCGGAAUUAUUGGGCGUAAAGAGCUCGUAGGCGGUUAGUCGCGUCUGCUGUGAAAACUCGAGGCUCAACCUCGGGCUUGCAGUGGGUACGGGCUGACUAGAGUGCGGUAGGGGUGACUGGAAUUCCUGGUGUAGCGGUGGAAUGCGCAGAUAUCAGGAGGAACACCGAUGGCGAAGGCAGGUCACUGGGCCGCAACUGACGCUGAGGAGCGAAAGCAUGGGGAGCGAACAGGAUUAGAUACCCUGGUAGUCCAUGCCGUAAACGUUGGGCACUAGGUGUGGGUCCAUUCCACGGAUUCCGUGCCGCAGCAAACGCAUUAAGUGCCCCGCCUGGGGAGUACGGCCGCAAGGCUAAAACUUAAAUGAAUUGAC
rnacentral:rRNA from 1 species